rnacentral:rRNA from 1 species
UUAAGCGACUAAGCGUACACGGUGGAUGCCCUGGCAGUCAGAGGCGAUGAAGGACGUGCUAAUCUGCGAUAAGCGUCGGUAAGGUGAUAUGAACCGUUAUAACCGGCGAUUUCCGAAUGGGGAAACCCAGUGUGUUUCGACACACUAUCAUUAACUGAAUCCAUAGGUUAAUGAGGCGAACCGGGGGAACUGAAACAUCUAAGUACCCCGAGGAAAAGAAAUCAACCGAGAUUCCCCCAGUAGCGGCGAGCGAACGGGGAGCAGCCCAGAGUCUGAAUCAGUGUGUGUGUUAGUGGAAGCGUCUGGAAAGGCGCGCGAUACAGGGUGACAGCCCCGUACACAAAAAUGCACAUAUUGUGAGCUCGAUGAGUAGGGCGGGACACGUGGUAUCCUGUCUGAAUAUGGGGGGACCAUCCUCCAAGGCUAAAUACUCCUGACUGACCGAUAGUGAACCAGUACCGUGAGGGAAAGGCGAAAAGAACCCCGGCGAGGGGAGUGAAAAAGAACCUGAAACCGUGUACGUACAAGCAGUGGGAGCACGCUUAGGCGUGUGACUGCGUACCUUUUGUAUAAUGGGUCAGCGACUUAUAUUCUGUAGCAAGGUUAACCGAAUAGGGGAGCCGAAGGGAAACCGAGUCUUAACUGGGCGUUAAGUUGCAGGGUAUAGACCCGAAACCCGGUGAUCUAGCCAUGGGCAGGUUGAAGGUUGGGUAACACUAACUGGAGGACCGAACCGACUAAUGUUGAAAAAUUAGCGGAUGACUUGUGGCUGGGGGUGAAAGGCCAAUCAAACCGGGAGAUAGCUGGUUCUCCCCGAAAGCUAUUUAGGUAGCGCCUCGUGAAUUCAUCUCCGGGGGUAGAGCACUGUUUCGGCAAGGGGGUCAUCCCGACUUACCAACCCGAUGCAAACUGCGAAUACCGGAGAAUGUUAUCACGGGAGACACACGGCGGGUGCUAACGUCCGUCGUGAAGAGGGAAACAACCCAGACCGCCAGCUAAGGUCCCAAAGUCAUGGUUAAGUGGGAAACGAUGUGGGAAGGCCCAGACAGCCAGGAUGUUGGCUUAGAAGCAGCCAUCAUUUAAAGAAAGCGUAAUAGCUCACUGGUCGAGUCGGCCUGCGCGGAAGAUGUAACGGGGCUAAACCAUGCACCGAAGCUGCGGCAGCGACGCUUAUGCGUUGUUGGGUAGGGGAGCGUUCUGUAAGCCUGUGAAGGUGUGCUGUGAGGCAUGCUGGAGGUAUCAGAAGUGCGAAUGCUGACAUAAGUAACGAUAAAGCGGGUGAAAAGCCCGCUCGCCGGAAGACCAAGGGUUCCUGUCCAACGUUAAUCGGGGCAGGGUGAGUCGACCCCUAAGGCGAGGCCGAAAGGCGUAGUCGAUGGGAAACAGGUUAAUAUUCCUGUACUUGGUGUUACUGCGAAGGGGGGACGGAGAAGGCUAUGUUGGCCGGGCGACGGUUGUCCCGGUUUAAGCGUGUAGGCUGGUUUUCCAGGCAAAUCCGGAAAAUCAAGGCUGAGGCGUGAUGACGAGGCACUACGGUGCUGAAGCAACAAAUGCCCUGCUUCCAGGAAAAGCCUCUAAGCAUCAGGUAACAUCAAAUCGUACCCCAAACCGACACAGGUGGUCAGGUAGAGAAUACCAAGGCGCUUGAGAGAACUCGGGUGAAGGAACUAGGCAAAAUGGUGCCGUAACUUCGGGAGAAGGCACGCUGAUAUGUAGGUGAAGCGACUUGCUCGUGGAGCUGAAAUCAGUCGAAGAUACCAGCUGGCUGCAACUGUUUAUUAAAAACACAGCACUGUGCAAACACGAAAGUGGACGUAUACGGUGUGACGCCUGCCCGGUGCCGGAAGGUUAAUUGAUGGGGUUAGCGGUAACGCGAAGCUCUUGAUCGAAGCCCCGGUAAACGGCGGCCGUAACUAUAACGGUCCUAAGGUAGCGAAAUUCCUUGUCGGGUAAGUUCCGACCUGCACGAAUGGCGUAAUGAUGGCCAGGCUGUCUCCACCCGAGACUCAGUGAAAUUGAACUCGCUGUGAAGAUGCAGUGUACCCGCGGCAAGACGGAAAGACCCCGUGAACCUUUACUAUAGCUUGACACUGAACAUUGAGCCUUGAUGUGUAGGAUAGGUGGGAGGCUUUGAAGUGUGGACGCCAGUCUGCAUGGAGCCGACCUUGAAAUACCACCCUUUAAUGUUUGAUGUUCUAACGUGGACCCGUGAUCCGGGUUGCGGACAGUGUCUGGUGGGUAGUUUGACUGGGGCGGUCUCCUCCUAAAGAGUAACGGAGGAGCACGAAGGUUGGCUAAUCCUGGUCGGACAUCAGGAGGUUAGUGCAAUGGCAUAAGCCAGCUUGACUGCGAGCGUGACGGCGCGAGCAGGUGCGAAAGCAGGUCAUAGUGAUCCGGUGGUUCUGAAUGGAAGGGCCAUCGCUCAACGGAUAAAAGGUACUCCGGGGAUAACAGGCUGAUACCGCCCAAGAGUUCAUAUCGACGGCGGUGUUUGGCACCUCGAUGUCGGCUCAUCACAUCCUGGGGCUGAAGUAGGUCCCAAGGGUAUGGCUGUUCGCCAUUUAAAGUGGUACGCGAGCUGGGUUUAGAACGUCGUGAGACAGUUCGGUCCCUAUCUGCCGUGGGCGCUGGAGAACUGAGGGGGGCUGCUCCUAGUACGAGAGGACCGGAGUGGACGCAUCACUGGUGUUCGGGUUGUCAUGCCAAUGGCACUGCCCGGUAGCUAAAUGCGGAAGAGAUAAGUGCUGAAAGCAUCUAAGCACGAAACUUGCCCCGAGAUGAGUUCUCCCUGACUCCUUGAGAGUCCUGAAGGAACGUUGAAGACGACGACGUUGAUAGGCCGGGUGUGUAAGCGCAGCGAUGCGUUGAGCUAACCGGUACUAAUGAACCGUGAGGCUUAACCUU